rnacentral:lncRNA from 1 species
UAUCUCAAUACUCAAGAUUCAUACUUGCCCCUAGGCUCCAGAAACACAGUCCAGUUCUUGCUGGUACUUUGUCACCACAUUUCACUGUUUUGGCCACAGCAGAGAAGACUCAACUUUAGCAGUUGAGCAGGCAGGCAGAGAGAAUCACUCCCAUUAUAUAUCAGCCAGUUUCUUGGAGCUGUCAAUUCAUUUGCCUUUGAGAGAACUGGGGCUCAAACCCCCUUCCCAAAUAAGAGGGAAGGAAGUGACCUCCCACUCCAACACCUUAUCACUAACACCACAUUUCCAGUAGAGCCAUGGUUCCUGCUGCCCCUCCUCUUCUCACUCUUCUUACACAGCAGGUGUGGAGGAGUGCAGGGGAAAUCAUUAGAGUGGAAAUGGAGUUUCAAAGUUCUUUCUAUUGUUCCUUAGUAAUCCUGUUGUCAUUGUCUGUUCAUCAAAGCAUAAAGACAUGCAUGGCAUCUCCCCGCUUACCAGUUCUGGCACGUUUGGGCUUUCCAGCUGACCACCAAGGAGCCCAGGCUGUUUAGUUUAUGUAAGUGUAUGUUGGUAAAAAACAUAAAAAUAAUUAUGCUGGAUCUGAGGUGAUAUGUUUCUAAUAUUAGCAUCAUCAACAUCAGACGCCUGCCUAUGGGCAUGUGGUUGCCUGAUUUUCUUAAGAUGUUUCAGAAAUGA